ensembl:snRNA U6 U6 spliceosomal RNA
GUGCUCACUUCAGCAGUACAUAUACUAAAAUUGGAAGAAUAUAGAGAAGAUCAGCAUGGCCCCUGUGUAAGGAUGGCAUGCAAAUUCAUGAAGCAGCCCAUAUUUUU